rnacentral:rRNA from 1 species
UGGAGGAAAGCAGGGGAUCGCAAGACCUUGCGCCUUUGGAGUGGCCGAUGCCUGAUUAGCUAGUUGGUGGGGUAAUGGCCUACCAAGGCGACGAUCAGUAGUUGGUCUGAGAGGACGACCAGCCACACUGGGACUGAGACACGGCCCAGACUCCUACGGGAGGCAGCAGUGGGGAAUUUUGGACAAUGGGCGAAAGCCUGAUCCAGCAAUGCCGCGUGAGUGAAGAAGGCCUUCGGGUUGUAAAGCUCUUUCAGUCGAGAAGAAAAGGUUGUGACUAAUAAUCACAACUCAUGACGGUAUCGACAGAAGAAGCACCGGCUAACUACGUGCCAGCAGCCGCGGUAAUACGUAGGGUGCGAGCGUUAAUCGGAAUUACUGGGCGUAAAGGGUGCGCAGGCGGCUUUGUAAGUCAGAUGUGA